ensembl:lncRNA
AGGGCUUGCAGGAACCAUGAACCGCAGCAGAGCAAACUCACUGUCCGCGCUCCUCGUCUCCGGGAGGCCAGGAAAGUCCCUUCUGCUGGUUCGCCGCCGCCGCCUUCCUGGGCAUGGCCUGGCCCGGCCCUCGGAGAGGUGAGGGCGGGACGGGGAAGCUGGGAGUUGUCCUUCCUUCCUUUCUUUGAAAUCAAAAUCCUUUCCUCGGGGAGGAGCGCGGGAAGCGGCGCCGGCGGCAGCAGGGCAGAGGGUGUGGCCCGCGCUGUCGCUGCCGCGCCGAGUCAGAGCCGGGCGGGAGCCUGCACUGAUUGCGCACAGCGGCCGCCCGGAUCGCUCUCAAGCUCUCGCCCGCCCGCCACGCCCGGGCGUGCCGAGCGCCGCGGCGGCCCCUUCCCGCCUCGCCGGUUCACAGCGCGCGGCCCGGCGCCGCGGCGGCACGCCCUCCCAGACCGCGCGCCCGGCGGCCCGCCGCUGGCUGUCGACGCGAGUCCAUCCCUGUCGCCUCCUCGUCUGGGGCCCGCAGCGGCUGAGCUCUCCCGAGACCCCGGGCCCCGCGCAUGGGACGCCCCUGCACGAGUCUCCCUGCGACCGGGCCAACUCAGAAGGUCCCCGCGGCGCUGCGGCAACCGGCCCGGGCCCCGGCUCCUGCCAUUUUUGUCAACCGCCAACUUCCGAGCGAGCGGGGAGAAACUGAAAGGAAGGGCGGGGGCCGAAAGGCAGAGGGAAAAACACCCGCUUCCUCUCCGCGCGCGGCUUCACCUCGGAGCGCGGCCGUGGCUGUGCCGCCGCCCGCAGGGUCUGCCGGAGGUUUUUCUCUUCCCGUCCGCGCCUCGCCCCCGGGCUCGCCGCCGCCGCCUCGGCCGUAACCUCCCUGGAGCCUAUAGAAAUCUUUUGUGUGGCGUCACCGCCUUUCGUUUAAAUCCCGCUUCCUCCUCUCGUCCUUCCUCCCGCCCCCUCCGCCGCUCCCGGAUGCUUGCGCGAUGCGCUGCUCCUCCCCCGGGAAGCUGGGUGGCUGCGGGGGACGCCGCCGCCCAACGCGGACGCCACCGGCGUGGGGCCGGUGGUCACGGACCCCCCCCAUGGUCGUGGGCCGAGAGACUGGGGAAGCGGACAGGGGAAGGCCUGCCCCGGGCGGGGGGCUCUGCGCACACCCAUGGGAGACCGGGGCGCAGCCGCCCGCGGGCAUUACGUAAGCUCUUAGCCGGACCUGGGGGCUUCCUCCCCGCCAAGAGAGGAACUCUAAAAGGUGACUUGGCCUCCAGGCUGAAGGCAGGAGGACACUCGAUACUGGCCACUGGUGAUUUGUUGGGGCCGGCGGGUCAUCUCGGUCUGCGCGACUUCGCCAGUUUUUCCAACGCCCCCUGCCCUUUGUUGUGUUUGAUCCGCUUCCGCGAUGGGUUUCUGACCAGCAGUGCAGUGUAACGAAAAGAGGAAAAGAGCACUGGAUGUGGAGUCCCAAGAGUAGGGCUAGAUGCUUGCCCGUUCCUCCCUUGAAAUAUGUCUUAUGCAGUGAGAGCGCGGGCUCUGAACCAGACUUCCUAGGAUCAGCCUUUCUCAAGCCAUUUAUGAGUUCCAUGACCUUGUUCAAGUUAUCGCUCCAAGUAUCCGCCUUCUAUUCUAGAAAUUAGAGACUGUGCACAGGCUGCUUGAGUACUUGGCUCCUAAACAGUAGCUGUUAGAAUUAUGAGCCUUGAUCAGCGCAGUUUGCCUCCUCAUAACGUCUAUUUAUUCGUCUGUAUAAUGGAAUAAUAGUGGCUGCUGUUAAAUGAAUUAAAUAAGACAGCGUUUGGAGGGAAACGUUAUUACUCCAGUUUCACAGAGAAGGAAACUGAUCAGGUGCUUGAAAUGACUUCCCAAGAUCAAGAAGACAGCAUAUGGCAGGGACAAGAGCCCACGCCUACUCCCAGCCUCUUUUUACCGGACCUUGUUUUUCAGGAAGUGGUUAAAACACCUGGGCUACUCCCAGCAAAACGCCAGUAUCGCAGUCCUGAAACAG